UACGUAGGGUGCGAGCGUUAAUCGGAAUUACUGGGCGUAAAGCGUGCGCAGGCGGUUCUCCAAGGCCGUUGUGAAAGCCCCGGGCUUAACCUGGGAAUGGCCGUCGAAACUGGCGAACUGGAGUGUGGCAGAGGGGGGUGGAAUUCCGCGUGUAGCAGUGAAAUGCGUAGAGAUGCGGAGGAACACCGAUGGCGAAGGCAGCCCCCUGGGCUGACACUGACGCUCAGGCACGAAAGCGUGGGGAGCAAACAGG
rnacentral:rRNA from 1 species